rnacentral:rRNA from 1 species
UACGUAGGUGCCAAGCGUUAGGCGGAAUCACUGGGCUUAAAGCGUGUGUAGGCGGGCGCCUAAGUACCUUGUGAAAUCCCCCGGCUCAACCGGGGAACUGCUGGGUAUACUGGGUGCCUUGGGUCAUCUAGGGGCUGCCGGAACAAAUGGUGGAGCGGUGAAAUGCGUAGAUAUCAUUUGGAACGCCAACGGCGAAAGCAGGCAGCUGGGGAUGCACCGACGCUGAGACACGAAAGCCAGGGGAGCAAACGGG